rnacentral:rRNA from 1 species
UACGUAGGGUGCGAGCGUUGUCCGGAAUUAUUGGGCGUAAAGAGCUCGUAGGCGGUCUGUCGCGUCGGUCGUGAAAACUUGGGGCUUAACCCUGAGCUUGCGGUCGAUACGGGCAGACUUGAGUUCGGUAGGGGAGACUGGAAUUCCUGGUGUAGCGGUGAAAUGCGCAGAUAUCGGGAGGAACACCGGUGGCGAAGGCGGUUCUCUGGGCCUUACCUGACGCUGAGGAGCGAAAGCGUGGGGAGCGAACAGG